rnacentral:lncRNA from 1 species
AUUAGAUGAUUUAUAUGAAGGGGCAUAUGCAACCCAAUAUGGGGAUAAUUUUGUACCCGACGAAAAUACUCAUAACAACUCUCUUAACAGUAUGAAUUAUAUAAAUGAUGGAUAUUUUAAAAAACUCAUGAGAGAUGCGAAGGAGCCCUUGUAUUCAAAUUAUAAGAAGUUCUCUAAGCUUGAGUACUUGAUAAAGUUUCUUCACAG